AUGGCACCUCUAGAUGAUGUUGAUUCUAGAAGACUAUUCUUUAAGAGAACUUUCAGCUCAGAUGAUUCAUGUCCUUCUGAACGGGAAGAAGUUUCUGCUAGGAUUUUAAAAAAAUGUGGCGGACUGCCACUGGCUAUAAUUACAUUUGCAAGUUUGCUUGCCAGGAAGACACAUAACAAGGAUGAAUGGGAGAGACUGCAAGAUUCCAUUGGUACUGGUUCUUCGUUUGAUAAAGAUGGGAACUUAAAAGGGAUGAAAGAUAUAUUGUUACAUAGUUACCUGGAUCUUCCCCACCACCUGAAGACUUGUUUACUGUACUUGUGCUUAUAUCCAGAGGACUCCAUGAUCAAUAUUAAAGUGUUGAAACGGAAAUGGAUAGCAGAAGGAUUCAUUGCUGCACAAUGGGGAAGCUUGGAUCAAGUAGCAGAGAACUGUUUUAAUGAGCUCGUUAAUAGAAAUAUGAUCCAGCCAGUUUAUGGUAAUUAUGACAGUUCGGUGAAAUAUUGUAGGGUCCAUGAUAUGGUGCUUGACCUUAUUAUAUCUUUAUCGGAUGAAGAGAAUUUUGCCACUGUCUUAAAUGGGCGUAUAUGCAAUUCUUUCCCAAAUAAGAUACGUCGUCUGUCCAUGCAAUCUAGUGGCAAAGAGCAUAAAGGGGCAGUUGGGGCAAUUACAGAGACCAAGAUACAUAUUCGCUCAUUGACUGUGUUUGAGGCAGAUAAGCCGGUAGUACCCCAUCUUGUGGACUUCCAUGCUUUGCGGGUGUUGGAUCUUGGAGAUUGUAAUUGGUUGGAAAACAAGCAUGUAAAACAUAUAGGUAGUUCGCGUCAGCUGAGGUAUUUGAGAAUUGGCGAUUGUAAGAUUACUGAGCUUCCUGGUGAAAUCGGAAAGCUGCAGCACUUAGAGACUCUCGAUUUGAGAUGA
rnacentral:rRNA from 1 species